GUGGGGAAUAUUGGGCAAUGGGGGCAACCCUGACCCAGCAACGCCGCGUGAAGGAAGAAGGCUUUCGGGUUGUAAACUUCUUUGACCAGGGACGAAAGAAAUGACGGUACCUGGAAAACAAGCCACGGCUAACUACGUGCCAGCAGCCGCGGUAAUACGUAGGUGGCAAGCGUUGUCCGGAUUUACUGGGUGUAAAGGGCGCGUAGGCGGGAUAGCAAGUCAGGAGUGAAAUCUAUGGGCUUAACCCAUAAACUGCUUUUGAAACUGUUAUUCUUGAGUAUCGGAGAGGCAGGCGGAAUUCCUAGUGUAGCGGUGAAAUGCGUAGAUAUUAGGAGGAACACCAGUGGCGAAGGCAGCCUGCUGGACGACAACUGACGCUGAGGCGCGAAAGCGUGGGGAGCAAACAGGA
rnacentral:rRNA from 1 species